AUAACAGCAUUAUAUCUUUAGGAAGAUCAUAUUUAUAAAGAUGUUUGUGACCUCGAUGUUGAAUUAAGAUAAAUUUUAAAUGCAGAAGUUUAAAAAUUAAGUCUGUUCGACUUAUAAAAUCUUACAUGAUUUGAGUUCAGAUCGGUGUAAGCCAGAUCGGUUUCUAUCUUUAAUUAAUUAAGAUAUUUUUGUACGAAAGGACUAAUUA
rnacentral:rRNA from 1 species